GUGGCUGCCGGAUGGGUGCUCUCUAUUAGUGCUGUGCAGAGGCUUUCUCUGAGGCUGCUCUGAGCCUGUAGAGUUUCCCCCUAGGCUACGGAGCCGG
rnacentral:pre_miRNA from 1 species